GCCUUUGGAGCAUUGGAGUAAGAAAAAGAGGAAAUUGCACAGAAUGUCAAUUUUUCUCAAGAUAUUUACAAAAAUGUCAAUUUUUUUAAAACAUUGCAAGAAUGUCAAUUUAAGACAUAUUUGCCCCUGAAAAUAAUUUCAAAUUCCAUACAUGUCCUAAUUAAAUGAGAUUUGACCCAAUGGAAGAAAUUGUACAAAAAUCUUGUCAAUGUCAUAGAUGAAAAGUUGGAAAAAAAAAAUAGAUAAAUUUUAGUUGUCUCAUUCAAACAACUCUAACUCUAACUCUCUCACUUACUCUCUCUCUCUCUCUCUCUCUCUCUCUCUCUCUCUCUCUCUCUCUCUCUCUCAUUUCUCUCAUUAGGGUUUCAAUCCAAGAGAGAAAAAUCUUGUUUUUUUUUACUCAGUUUUUGUGAUAUUUUUAUCUGUAAGGGGUUUAUGAGAUGCGAAAAAUGGAGCUUUUUGCUUGGUUUAAAAUAAGAGCUGGGGCUUGGAUUAGAAAGAGGUAAAAAUCCUUUUGAUAUUCAGUAAUUUUUUUGGACAUUUUGAAUAAUUUUUGGUUGUGUUAUGAUUAGAAAUGUUUUUCCCCAACUUUCUGCAAUUUCAUACCAUAAAUUUUAAUUUUCUCUUUUUUUAUACAUCUUCUAUUAGUGAUGCAUAUAUGCACACGUAACACGUGCCGACACUAAUGUUGAGGGAAAAAAUUAUUUAGGGUUCCAAUUUAAUAUUUAUCCUCUUCCUUUGCUUUCAAAGUCCAAAUUUCAAGUAUUUUGAAUGUUUCAAUAUUUUUGGUACUUGUGUGAUGUGGAAACAACAUUACUAUAACUUGGAAUCCAUUUGUUGUGGGAGGUACCCGUAUUUGGGUUGAACUCUUGCUAGACAGUCGACAGCAUACCUGUGAUUUUAAUAUAUUGUUAUGCUCGAAUAUGAAGUGAAAUAAGUUUCAAUAAUACCUAUUUGCUUAGAGGUGAAAAGUAGAUCUCCCGAUAGUUCAUCUGUCGACAGUUCACUAAUGUAUAGAAAUGCCAUCGCGCCUAACUGUCGGUUUCGACAGUUAGCCUCGGUAAUUCUCGAUAGAUGAAACAGUCGACAGAUGAACUGUCGAGAACGACAGUUCAGUCCUUCCCACCGCUCAGUUCCACAAGUCAAACUUUGGUUCAUUCUAACAUUGCACGAGUGUUUUACAUAAACAUAUAUGAAAUGCUAUGAUCUCAUGAUUUUUUCAAUUGAUUUGUCCGUAUUUGGUUAGAUUUUUUCCAUCCGAACGUCUUACAUGUGACUGAUUUCCAUAUGUGGUUAUAUUUUUGUGUUUCACAUUUUUAUUUGUAUAACAAUACCACCACCAUCACGAUUCAUUCUUCAUAAUUUUUGGAUCACAUGCAAUUCAAAUCUAUUUUUGUGGAAGUUGCUUGUUUGAAUUCAGAUUAUGAUAGAUUGCAUGAAUCAAUUGAGUUAUAUUAUGUACUGUGAUCAGAUUGUUUUUUCACAUAAGGUAAACGUUAUUACAUUUCUUCACAUUGUUUUCUACGGGCUUUAUCUCGGAAUACUAAUUUCACCAAUGUAUGAUGACAAAUGAGCAGACUCAUACUCAUGACUUGAAUGAUCGUCAAAGUGUUGGUGCACACAUUCUUGCUAUAAUUGGAGAUGGAACCAAUCGAUUUCGUUGUCAAAGAAAGAGAAACCUUCACAACGGUCUACUUUUGAUGACUGUGG
rnacentral:lncRNA from 1 species